UCAUAGCAUACCCUACACCGGAUAAUAAAAACCAUCGUUUAAAAUUCAAAGAACUUGGCGGUGCUUUAUACUACCAGGGGAACCUGUACCUUAAUUCGAUACUCCACGAAAAUCUUACCCUCUUUUGAAAUUACAGUCUGUAUACUCCCGUCGCAAGCAUAUCCCUAAAGGACUAUGCAAUAAUAUUAAAAUAAAUACGUCAGGUCAAAGUGCAGCUAAUAAGGGGGGGAGUAUGGGUUACACUAUUAAAUAUGCUCUUAAUCUAAAUUAAAUUAAGCUUAUAGCUGAACUUGAUAGUAAUUUUUCCUUAUUAUGUAAAAAUAAAUAUAAUCUAAAGCAUGCACAUAUCGCCCGUCGCUCUCCCUGAAAAGGG
rnacentral:rRNA from 1 species